rnacentral:rRNA from 1 species
GACGAACGCUGGCGGCGUGCUUAACACAUGCAAGUCGAACGGAAAGGCCUCUUUCGGGGGGUACUCGAGUGGCGAACGGGUGAGUAACACGUGAGUAACCUGCCCUUGACUUUGGGAUAACUUCAGGAAACUGGGGCUAAUACCGGAUAGGAGCUCCUGCUGCAUGGUGGGGGUUGGAAAGUUUCGGCGGUUGGGGAUGGACUCGCGGCUUAUCAGCUUGUUGGUGGGGUAGUGGCUUACCAAGGCUUUGACGGGUAGCCGGCCUGAGAGGGUGACCGGCCACAUUGGGACUGGGGUACGGCCCAGACUCCUACGGGAGGCAGCAGUGGGGAAUAUUGCACAAUGGGUGGAAGCCUGAUGCAGCAACGCCGGGUGCGGGAUGACGGCCUUCGGGUUGUAAACCGCUUUCGCUCAUGACGAAGCUUUGUGUGACGGUAGUGGGUAAAGAAGCACCGGCUAACUACGUG